UGCGUAGGCGGGCUAAUAAGUCAGUGGUGAAAUCUUCCGGCUCAACCGGGAACCUGCCAUUGAUACUGUUAGUCUUGAGUUCGGCUGAGGUAGGCGGAAUGUGUAAUGUAGCGGUGAAAUGCUUAGAUAUUACACAGAACACCAAUUGCGUAGGCAGCUUACUAGACCGACACUGACGCUGAGGCACGAAAGCGUGGGGAGCGAACAGGAUUAGAUACCCCGGUAGUCC
rnacentral:rRNA from 1 species